rnacentral:rRNA from 1 species
CACGUAGGGGGCGAGCGUUGUCCGGAUUUAUUGGGCGUAAAGAGCUCGUAGGCGGCUCAGUAAGUCAGGUGUGAAAACUCCAGGCUCAACCUGGAGACGCCACCUGAUACUGCUGUGGCUAGAGUCCGGUAGGGGAGCAUGGAAUUCCUGGUGUAGCGGUGAAAUGCGCAGAUAUCAGGAAGAACACCCGUGGCGAAGGCGGCUCUCUGGGACGGUACUGACGCUGAGACGCGAAAGCUAGGGGAGCAAACAGG